UACGUAGGGCGCGAGCGUUGUCCGGAAUUAUUGGGCGUAAAGAGCUCGUAGGCGGUCUGUCGCGUCUGCUGUGAAAACUCAGGGCUUAACCCUGAGCUUGCAGUGGGUACGGGCAGACUAGAGUGCGGUAGGGGAGACUGGAAUUCCUGGUGUAGCGGUGAAAUGCGCAGAUAUCAGGAGGAACACCGGUGGCGAAGGCGGGUCUCUGGGCCGAUACUGACGCUGAGGCGCGAAAGCGUGGGGAGCAAACAGG
rnacentral:rRNA from 1 species